GAGUUUGAUCGUGGCUCAGAUUGAACGCUGGCGGCAUGCCUUACACAUGCAAGUCGAACGGCAGCAUGAUCUAGCUUGCUAGAUUGAUGGCGAGUGGCGAACGGGUGAGUAAUACAUCGGAACGUGCCCUGUAGUGGGGGAUAACUAGUCGAAAGAUUAGCUAAUACCGCAUACGACCUGAGGGUGAAAGUGGGGGACCGCAAGGCCUCAUGCUAUAGGAGCGGCCGAUGUCUGAUUAGCUAGUUGGUGGGGUAAAGGCCCACCAAGGCGACGAUCAGUAGCUGGUCUGAGAGGACGAUCAGCCACACUGGGACUGAGACACGGCCCAGACUCCUACGGGAGGCAGCAGUGGGGAAUUUUGGACAAUGGGCGAAAGCCUGAUCCAGCAAUGCCGCGUGUGUGAAGAAGGCCU
rnacentral:rRNA from 1 species